UNUGUUUUCAGAGUUAACCCAGAAGCACUG
rnacentral:piRNA from 1 species